rnacentral:rRNA from 1 species
AUUGAACGCUGGCGGCAGGCCUAACACAUGCAAGUCGAACGAGUGGCGGACGGGUGAGACAUGUCUGGGAAACUUCCUGAGGGAUGGGGAUAACUACUGGUAACGGUAGCUAAUACCGCAUACACUCGGAUGUGCCCAGAUGGGAUUAGCUAGUAGGUGGGGUAAAGGCGCACCAAGGCGACGAACCCUAGCUGGUCUGAGAGGAUGACCAGCCACACUGGAACUGAGACACGGCCCAGACGCCUACGGUAGGCAGCAGUGGGGAAUAUUGCACAAUGGGCGAAAGCCUGAUGCAGCCAUGCCGCGUGUGUGAAGAAGGCCUUCGGGUUGUAAAGCACUUUCAGCGAGGAGGCGUUACUCGCAGAAGAAGCACCGGCUAACUCCGUGCCAGCAGCCGCGGUAAUAC